UACGGAGGGGGCGAGCGUUAUUCGGAAUUAUUGGGCGUAAAGGGCGCGUAGGCGGCUUGACAAGUCAAAGGUGAAAUCCCUCGGCUCAACUGAGGAACUGCCUUUGAAACUGUCUGGCUUGAGGCCGGGAGGGGGUAGCGGAAUUCCCAGUGUAGCGGUGAAAUGCGUAGAUAUUGGGAGGAACACCAGUGGCGAAGGCGGCUACCUGGACCGACACUGACGCUGAGGAGCGAAAGCCAGGGGAGCAAACGGG
rnacentral:rRNA from 1 species